rnacentral:lncRNA from 1 species
ACCGACACCCCUCCCUUUUCUCCUUUCGUUUUUGGCCAAAUGGCCAUGAGUUUCGGCUAGUAGAUGCUCUAAAUUAGCCUACUUGACGAGAGGAACACAAAGGUAGCCUCCAUCAAUGGAGUUAUUGCGUCGUUUGAGAGAGAUCGACACCGCAACGUACUGUCACUAUGGCAGUCGAUUCUAUGGCAAGUUCAGGGGUUUUCGGUAAGCUUUAAUGGCAGAGGUGAGUUUGAAACCUCUCCCUUCUUACCAUAGAAUGAUUUUCUUUCGUUGGAUCAUAGAAUCCUUUGAAUUUGAAUUAGCUGCGAUCUAGGUUUUUAAAGUAUGAAAUUUGGGGAUUUUUCCUUGAUUCGAUUGAAUUAUAACAAAUUAGUAGGAUCUAAUAUUAAAAUUCACAGAUUGAGGUUGAGAUAGUUUUGUCUGAAUGAGCUCAUAGGACACUGAUGACCCUUCAGAUUGAGUCUAUUUAAGCUGUUGUGACUAAAUUGAAUAUUGUCAAACUUAUUGAAUUGAUGUUUUUCUAUAAUUAUGAUGCUCGGUAACAAUUUUCAUACAAAGGUAGUUACAUGAUUUUUGAGCAAAGAAUUUCUAUCACUAUUAAUGAUAUACUUUCUUAGUAAACUCUUUAUUGAGUUAAAAGAAAGAUUAAUUUUCAAGAAAGAUUAAAUGAAAAUGAUUUUCAUAUAAAGCUUUAUUUACAGUUAUGAUUAACCUUAGAAAAAUGUGAAUUUACACUUGAUUUUGUAUAUAUGCGCCACUAAGCAAAUUCUGUACUAUCGUAGGGAAAGGAAAUGAGAAAGCAGGAGACUGAAUCGUGCUAAUUGCAGGAUUCCUUUUAGAUCAUUGUACAUAUAAGAGCUACUAUUGUAGCUAUUGUAUAUAGUUCCUUUUUGAAAUUUUUUAUGAUGUAUAGAAUAUUAACAGAAUAGUCAUAUGUAUAUGAGCAUACAUAUGUAAUUACAUAUACUCCUAAU